AAGCAUAUCAAUAAGCGGAGGAAAAGAAACCAACAGGGAUUGCCCCAGUAACGGCGAGUGAAGCGGCAACAGCUCAAAUUUGAAAUCUGGCCCCUAGGGUCCGAGUUGUAAUUUGUAGAGGAUGCUUUUGGUGAGGUGCCGCCCGAGUUCCCUGGAACGGGACGCCGCAGAGGGUGAGAGCCCCGUCUGGCUGGCCACCGAGCCUCUGUAAAGCUCCUUCGACGAGUCGAGUAGUUUGGGAAUGCUGCUCAAAAUGGGAGGUAUAUGUCUUCUAAAGCUAAAUAUUGGCCAGAGACCGAUAGCGCACAAGUAGAGUGAUCGAAAGAUGAAAAGCACCUUGAAAAGAGGGUUAAACAGUACGUGAAAUUGUUGAAAGGGAAGCGCUUGUGACCAGACUUGGGCGCGGCGGAUCAUCCGGGGUUCUCCCCGGUGCACUUCGCCGUGUUCAGGCCAGCAUCAGUUCGGCGCGGGGGAAAAAGGCUUCGGGAACGUGGCUCCUCCGGGAGUGUUAUAGCCCGUUGCAUAAUACCCUGCGCUGGACUGAGGACCGCGCAUCUGCAAGGAUGCUGGCGUAAUGGUCACCAGCGACCCGUC
rnacentral:rRNA from 1 species